ACGAACGCUGGCGGCGUGCUUAACACAUGCAAGUCGAACGGAAAGGCCCUGCUUUUGUGGGGUGCUCGAGUGGCGAACGGGUGAGUAACACGUGAGUAACCUGCCCUUGACUUUGGGAUAACUUCAGGAAACUGGGGCUAAUACCGGAUAGGAGCUCCUGCUGCAUGGUGGGGGUUGGAAAGUUUCGGCGGUUGGGGAUGGACUCGCGGCUUAUCAGCUUGUUGGUGGGGUAGUGGCUUACCAAGGCUUUGACGGGUAGCCGGCCUGAGAGGGUGACCGGCCACAUUGGGACUGAGAUACGGCCCAGACUCCUACGGGGGGCAGGAGGGGGGAAUAUUGCACAAUGGGCGGAAGCCUGAAGCAGCAACGCCGCGUGCGGGAUGACGGCCUUGGGGUUGUAAACCGCUUUCGCCUGGGACGAAGCGGGGGGGACGGUAAUGGGAAAAAAAGCCCCGGCAAACUACGG
rnacentral:rRNA from 1 species